GACAGAGGGUGCAAACGUUGUUCGGAAUUACUGGGCGUAAAGCGCGUGUAGGCGGCAGCGUGUGUCGGGCGUGAAAUCCCACGGCUCAACCGUGGAAGUGCACCCGAAACUGCGCAGCUAGAGUCCUGGAGAGGAAGGCGGAAUACUUGGUGUAGAGGUGAAAUUCGUAGAUAUCAAGUGGAACACCGGUGGCGAAGGCUGCCUUCUGGACAGUGACUGACGCUGAGACGCGAAAGCGUGGGGAGCAAACAGG
rnacentral:rRNA from 1 species